GGUAAAAGAAAGAAAUCCUAGGGAGAACUAGGCUGCAGCGUUAGCGUCCUCUAGCACUUGCUCCAAUGGAACCUCCUAAACGACAUCUGCUCUCAUCCAAGCGGAUGAUCAUCGCAAGAGAAAGCAUACCCAAGCAACAUACAACACAAAAGUAAGGGUGAGCUAGGUAAACAAACAACCUACAUAAAAUACAGUCAAANAAUGUCCUCAUGCUUAAUUAAAUAUAAAAAGAACAAGCAAGGCAUACCAACCACACCAUGCAUGACUCAUCCGGAUUUGGUAUAAUUGUCUAGCUAUUGGUCGUCUUUGCACUUGCAUAGUUCAGCUGGCCCAUCCCCAACACUAUGCAAGGUAAAUCCCCCAAUCUGUCUAUGUCUAAACUCCAAGACUAUAGACGAGGACCUCCCUCUACUCUCACCACUCACACUGUUCUUCUCUAUUUGAGCAUGAACAGUGCUUUNAGUGUAGGGAUAGACAUACAUUUCAAAGCUCCCAACAUUAUACANACAACAACAACAUUUCUACAAUCACAUCCACUCAUCUCACCCUGAGAUGUUCAAUUNACACUCAAGUUCAUCAAUUCACAGUCAUGUUAUUUCAAGUCACACGAGUCACCUAGAUAGACAUACAUACAUGACAUUCGAUAGAGCAAACAACGUUAAUCAAUCCAUAUACCUUAACUAACCAAUCACAAAUCACCAAAUUUAUAACAUCUCUCGCAAUAAGAUACGCAUUGCUCAAUAACAUGCGUUGCUCAUAAAUC
rnacentral:lncRNA from 1 species